GUCUAAGUUUUUUCAGUCUUGGAAGUUCUAAAAAAGUAGUAAAAUCUGAAAGCUUUUUUUUUUUUUCGAAGCAAGUUUUAGCCAAAAUGUCUCUCUUCUGAGUUCCUUUCAUUUCUCGUUUGAGUUUCGAAUCUAGGGAAUCAAAGUUGAAAUCGAUUCAGACACUCCUGGACCCAUUUCGUUGCUCAAAAUCAGUCUAAACAGUAGCAGCCCAAAAGCAGAUGCAGUAGUAGCAGCCUCGCAGGGACAAAAAUAUUGCAAAUCUCGGGCGGAAGUAUGAGAGAACCUAGGACAGGGCUUUUUAGACUAUCUCGGACUAAGCCCAAGUAUUAUAAUAGCUUGGAUUGAGCCAAAAGUCCAAGUCUCUUUAACUCUUUCUCCUUUAACUUCUGAUAUUAUUAGUAUUUCUGUGCAAACCCCUUUUGAGAACUAAAUGAAAUCCCAGCAGGUUUUGGAA